GACCAGUGUUGCCAGUCUGAAAUUUCGCUGCGUAUUAUCCAUGGUUAUAGAAAGUACUAGAUUGAUAGUUGCCCAACAGUCAACUACCGGCUGAGGUUUAUUUCGGGUUGAUUGGUGGGGUUUAUUUUGGUUCAGUUGACGGGGAUGGUUUUGGUUUUGUUGAUGGGGUUUGUUGUGGUUAGUAUGCUGUAAUUUGAAAAAAGCGUCCACCUCCGACGACCACCACAUUCACCAUCGAGAUGGACGAAGAAAGGCACGAGGAGGAGGAGGACGAGAAAUGCGAGAUGAACAAGGUGGACGAAGAGGACGAGGAUUUGUGCACGUAUUCAAGGUAUAACCCAAGGUAGUUGGCUGUGGUCGUUGGAGGUGGUUGGCAGUGGUUCGAGGUGGUCGGAGGAGAACAAAGAGAACAAAUACGAUGCGGAGAACAAGGCUGAGUAAGAGGUGAAGAAGGACGAGGUGGUAGAGGGUACCAGGUGGUG